rnacentral:rRNA from 1 species
UGGGCGUAAGAGCUCGUAGGCGGUUUGUCGCGUCUGCCGUGAAAGUCCGGGGCUCAACUCCGGAUCUGCGGUGGGUACGGGCAGACUAGAGUGAUGUAGGGGAGACUGGAAUUCCUGGUGUAGCGGUGAAAUGCGCAGAUAUCAGGAGGAACACCGAUGGCGAAGGCAGGUCUCUGGGCAUUAACUGACGCUGAGGAGCGAAAGCAUGGGGAGCGAACAGGAUUAGAUACCCUGGUAGUCCAUGCCGUAAACGUUGGGCACUAGGUGUGGGGGACAUUCCACGUUUUCCGCGCCGUAGCUAACGCAUUAAGUGCCCCGCCUGGGGAGUACGGCCGCAAGGCUAAAACUCAAAGGAAUUGACGGGGGCCCGCACAAGCGGCGGAGCAUGCGGAUUAAUUCGAUGCAACGCGAAGAACCUUACCAAGGCUUGACAUGAACCGGAAACACCUGGAAACAGGUGCCCCGCUUGCGGUCGGUUUACAGGUGGUGCAUGGUUGUCGUCAGCUCGUGUCGUGAGAUGUUGGGUUAAGUCCCGCAACGAGCGCAACCCUCGUUCUAUGUUGCCAGCGCGUUAUGGCGGGGACUCAUAGGAGACUGCCGGGGUCAACUCGGAGGAAGGUGGGGACGACGUCAAAUCAUCAUGCCCCUUAUGUCUUGGGCUUCACGCAUGCUACAAUGGCCGGUACAAAGGGUUGCGAUACUGUGAGGUGGAGCUAAUCCCAAAAAGCCGGUCUCAGUUCGGAUUGGGGUCUGCAACUCGACCCCAUGAAGUCGGAGUCGCUAGUAAUCGCAGAUCAGCAACGCUGCGGUGAAUACGUUCCCGGGCCUUGUACACACCGCCCGUCAAGUCACGAAAGUUGGUAACACCCGAAGCCGGUGGCCUAACCCCUUGUGGGAGGGAGCUGUCGAAGUGGGACU